rnacentral:rRNA from 1 species
GACGAACGCUGGCGGCGUGCCUAACACAUGCAAGUCGAGCGGGGUUGAAGCGAGGGGUAACUCGAGUUUCUACCUAGCGGCGGACGGGUGAGUAACGCGUGGGCAACCUGCCUCAAGGACUGGGAUAACAGCUCGAAAGGGCUGCUAAUACCGGAUAAGCCUAUGGCCUCGCAUGGGGCCAUGAGCAAAGGGGAAACCUGCCUUGAGAUGGGCCCGCGUCCCAUCAGCUAGUUGGUGAGGUGAAGGCUCACCAAGGCGACGACGGGUAGCCGGCCUGAGAGGGUGACCGGCCACACUGGGACUGAGACACGGCCCAGACUCCUACGGGGGGCAGCAGUGGGGAAUCUUGCACAAUGGGCGAAAGCCUGAUGCAGCGACGCCGCGUGAGCGAAGAAGGCCUCGGUUGUAAGACUCUGUCUGGAGGGACGGAAGGAAGGUAGACGGUACCGUCCGGACGGAAGGCCACGGCGUAACUACGUGCCAGCAGCCGCGGUAAAGUACACGUGUA